UUUAGGGACUUACGUAUCCUCUCAGGAGGACAAUAAUUUUACAGUACUUUAACCCCCUUUGAGGAUACAGCCACUCACAAUCGAAGUUACUAAUAUGAACUUCCAAAUAUAAAAUAUUUAUCUAUUUACAAAUCAUGCAACAAAUCUAAUUCUUUUAAAAAUGCGAUAAUUAAAUGAGAACUUAUGUUAUUAAGAAGAUCCUUCAUAGUUAGUGAUUUGGAAUAGUUAUCCCUUGUGAUGGAAUAUCCAACAC